rnacentral:misc_RNA from 1 species
GAUGAAGAACGUAGCGAAAUGCGAUAAGUAAUGUGAAUUGCAGAAUUCAGUGAAUCAUCGAAUCUUUGAACGCACAUUGCGCCCGCCAGUAUUCUGGCGGGCAUGCCUGUCCGAGCGUCAUUUCAACCCUCGAACCCCUCCGGGGGGUCGGCGUUGGGGACCUCGGGAGCCCCUAAGACGGGAUCCCGGCCCCGAAAUACAGUGGCGGUCUCGCCGCAGCCUCUCCUGCGCAGUAGUUUGCACAACUCGCACCGGGAGCGCAGCGCGUCCACGUCCGUAAAACACCCAACUUCUGAAAUGUUGACCUCGGAUCAGGUAGGAAUACCCGCUGAACUUAAGCAUAUCAAUAAGCGGAGGA